AAAAACAUGGUCUUUUGUUUAUAUAAAAGAUCUGGCCUGCCCAAUGAUUUUUUAAUGGCUGCAGUAUUUUGACUGUACAAAGGUAGCAUAAUCAUUUGUCUCUUGAUUGGAGUCUGGAAUGAAUGGUCGGAUGAAGGAUUUACUUUCUUUAUUUUAAAUAUAAAAUUUAAUUUUUAAAUCAGAAAGUUUAAAUAUUAAUAUAGGACGAGAAGACCCUAUAGAACUUUAUUUAUAAUAAAUAUUUAUUAUUUUGUAAAUUAUAAUUAUAUAUUUUUAUAUAAAUUUUAUUGGGGUGAUAAAAAAAAUUUUUUAACUUUUUUUAAUUUUUUCAUUUAUAGAUGUAUUUUUGAUCUUUUAUUAAGGAUUGGAAGAAUAAGUUACCUUAGGGAUAACAGCGUUAUUAUUUUAGAGAGUUCAUAUUGAUAAAAUAGUUUGCGACCUCGAUGUUGGAUUAAAAUUAGCUUCAGGGGCAGAAUAUUGAUGGCUAAGUCUGUUCGACUUUUAAAUUUUUACAUGAUCUGAG
rnacentral:rRNA from 1 species